CAGUAGCCGCGGGAAUACGUAGGUGGCAAGCGUUGUCCGGAAUUAUUGGGCGUAAAGGGCUCGCAGGCGGUUUCUUAAGUCUGAUGUGAAAGCCCCCGGCUCAACCGGGGAGGGUCAUUGGAAACUGGGAAACUUGAGUGCAGAAGAGGAGAGUGGAAUUCCACGUGUAGCGGUGAAAUGCGUAGAGAUGUGGAGGAACACCAGUGGCGAAGGCGACUCUCUGGUCUGUAACUGACGCUGAGGAGCGAAAGCGUGGGGAGCGAACAGGAUUAGAUACCCCAGUAGUCCCUGUCUCUUAUAU
rnacentral:rRNA from 1 species